rnacentral:sRNA from 1 species
AAAAGAAAAAAAAGAAUCUAAUGCCUGAUGAGCUGAGGUGGAACAGUUUCAUCCCCAAACCACCCAUCCCCACCCCCGGCUGGUAGAAAAACUGCCUUCCAUGAAACCAGUCCCUGGUGCCAAAAAGAUUGGGGACCACUGGUUUAAGUCCUGUAGCUUUACAGACCACAGCUAGAAAGGCAACUGGUAUUAAUUCACCCUGCACGAGGACCUCCGUCUGCCUCCGCUGAGCUGCUGUCUGCUCACUUCCCCGGGUGGCACACUGGCCUGCAGGUAACUAACUCCUGAAGCUUUUAUCUGGGAAUGUCCUCUUUUUUGGGGGGUGGGGAGACAGGGUCUUGCUCUGUCACGCAGGCUGGAGUGCAGUGGCGCGAUCUCAGCUCACUGCACUCUCCGCCUCCUGGGUUCAAGCGAUUCUCCUGCCUCAGCCUCCCGAGUAGCUGGGAUUACAGGUGUGCGCCACUACACUCAGCUCAUUUUUUCUGUGUGCUUUUUGUGUAGACACGGGGUUCUCACAGUGUUGCCCAGGCUGGUGUCAUACUCCUGGCCUCCAGCAAUCUUCCCGCCUUGGCCUCCCAAAGUGCUGGGAUUACAGGCAUGAGCCACGAUACCAAGCCUUAACUCUCAUUUUUGAAGGGCUAUUUUUAGAAUUCUCGGUUUUGUCAGUUUCUUCCAUUGAAUGGUACCUGUUUUCCUGUUUCUUUGAACGUCUUGUGCUUUUUGUUGAAAACUGGUCCUUGGCCGGGCGUGGUGGCUCAAACCUGUAAUCCCAGCACUUUGGGAGGCCGAGGUGGGUGGAUCACGAGGUCAGGAGAUAGAGACCAUCCUGGCUAAUGCGGUGAAACCCCGUCUCUACUAAAAAUACAAAAAAUUAGCCAGGCAUGGUGGCAGGCGCCUGUAGUCCCAGCUACUUGGGAGGCUGAGGCAGGAGAAUGGCGUGAACGUGGGAGGCGGAGCUUGAAGUGAGCCAAGAUCAUGCCACUGCACUCCAGCCUGGGCGACAGAGUGAGACUCCAUCUCAAAAAAAAAGAAAACUGGUCCUUUGAAAACAGACUCUGCCAGUCUUUGCAGACAGGUUCUGUGCUUGGAGCCUGGGGAUCAGUGUGAGGUCUCUUCCAGGACCCGUGCAUCUCUUCCGACUCUCGGGCAAGUGCUUCAGCCUGGUGGAGUCCACGUGAGUGCAGGGUGGGUGCGAGGGUGGGCUGGGGCGCAGCCUGCGGACCCCCCCCUCAUGCCAUCUGUGUCCCCAGGUACAAGUAUGAGUUCUGCCCGUUCCACAACGUGACCCAGCACGAGCAGACCUUCCGCUGGAACGCCUACAGUGGGAUCCUCGGCAUCUGGCACGAGUGGGAGAUCGCCAACAACACCUUCACGGGCAUGUGGAUGAGGGACGGUGACGCCUGCCGUUCCCGGAGCCGGCAGAGCAAGGUGGGGCCUCAGACGGGAGCCCGGGAAGAGGGGCCCCAGUCUCCCCAACCCACCUACCCACGUUCCCUCCCCAGGUGGAGCUGGCGUGUGGAAAAAGCAACCGGCUGGCCCAUGUGUCCGAGCCGAGGACCUGCGUCUACGCGCUGACGUUCGAGACCCCCCUCGUCUGCCACCCCCACGCCUUGCUAGGUAGGGGUGCGGGACACAGUUGAGCCCAGUGGGGUCAGCCACGCACGCAGCCCUGCUGGAGGCCCUGUAGUGGUGGGGGCCAGGGUUGGGACAUGGGGUGCAGCUGAGCCUGGCUUCUCUUGGGUCCUCAGUGUACCCAACCCUGCCAGAGGCCCUGCAGCGGCAGUGGGACCAGGUAGAGCAGGACCUGGCCGAUGAGCUGAUCACCCCCCAGGUAAGCAUGCGCUCGGGGUGGCCCCUGGCGGGCCUGGCUGGGAGCUGGGUGCUGCCCCUGCAUCCUCCACCUUCAGGGCCAUGAGAAGUUGCUGAGGACACUUUUUGAGGAUGCUGGCUACUUAAAGACCCCAGAAGAAAACGAACCCACCCAGCUGGAGGGAGGUCCUGACAGCUUGGGGUUUGAGACCCUGGAAAACUGCAGGAAGGUACCGUAUUGGGGGGAGGUGGUGGCAUGCAGUAGCCCCCCACCACCUGGGCUUUCCCUUGAACUCUUUUUGUGGUAGGCUCAUAAAGAACUCUCAAAGGAGAUCAAAAGGCUGAAAGGUUUGCUCACCCAGCACGGCAUCCCCUACACGAGGCCCACAGAAACUUCCAACUUGGAGCACUUGGGCCACAAGACGCCCAGAGCCAAGUCUCCAGAGCAGCUGCGGGGUGACCCAGGACUGCGUGGGAGUUUGUGACCUUGUGGUGGGAGAGCAGAGGUGGACGCAGCCAAGAGCCCUACAGAGAAGCUGGCUGGUAGGACCCGCAGGGACCAGCUGGCCAGGCUUGUGCUCAGAGAAGCAGACAAAACAAAGAUUCAAGGUUUUAAUUAAUUCCCAUACUGAUAAAAAUAACUCCAUGAAUUCUGUAAACCAUUGCAUAAAUGCUAUAGUGUAAAAAAAUUUAAACAAGUGUUAACUUUAAACAGUUCGCUACAAGUAAAUGAUUAUAAAUACU